GACGAACGCUGGCGGCGCGCCUAACACAUGCAAGUCGAACGAGCGAGAGAGAGCUUGCUUUCUCGAGCGAGUGGCGGACGGGUGAGUAACGCGUGAGGAACCUGCCUCAAAGAGGGGGACAACAGUUGGAAACGACUGCUAAUACCGCAUAAGCCCACGGCUCGGCAUCGAGCAGAGGGAAAAGGAGCAAUCCGCUUUGAGAUGGCCUCGCGUCCGAUUAGCUAGUUGGUGAGGUAAUGGCCCACCAAGGCGACGAUCGGUAGCCGGACUGAGAGGUUGAACGGCCACAUUGGGACUGAGACACGGCCCAGACUCCUACGGGAGGCAGCAGUGGGGAAUAUUGCACAAUGGGGGAAACCCUGAUGCAGCGACGCCGCGUGGAGGAAGAAGGUCUUCGGAUUGUAAACUCCUGUUGUUGGGGAAGAUAAUGACGGUACCC
rnacentral:rRNA from 1 species